rnacentral:rRNA from 1 species
CAAAACCGCGAGGUGGAGCAAAGCCCAAAAAAUAGUCCCAGUUCGGAUUGAAGGCUGAAAUUCGCCUUCAUGAAGCCGGAAUUGCUAGUAAUGGCAGGUCAGCAUACUGCCGUGAAUACGUUCCCGGGCCUUGUACACACCGCCCGUCACACCAUGAGAGUUGGGAAUACCCGAAGCCUGUGAGCUAACUUUUAGAGGCAGCAGUCGAAGGUAGAAUCAAUGAUUGGGGUGAAGUCGUAACAAGGUAAC